rnacentral:lncRNA from 1 species
GUUAACAGCAUACAUAUUUGAGAAUUAUGAGAUUUAUGUCAAAGGGAAGUAUCGGUCAUUGUGUGUCAUUGCCUGACAACAGUAACCACGUCUCUGGAGUGGACUUGCAGGAGCCAGUGAGAAGGAAACUGUGCAAG